UUUCAAGUCUUUAAGAGCAAACGGUGGAUGCCUUGGCAUCUGGAGCCGAAGAAGGACGUAGCAAUCUGCGAUAAGCCUCGGGGAACUGAUAAGCGAGUUUUGAUCCGAGGAUGUCCGAAUGGGGAAACCCCGCCAGGCGUUUGUGCGACCUGGUGACUCCCGCCUGAAUAUAUAGGGCGGGUAGAGGGAACGUGGGGAAGUGAAACAUCUCAGUACCCACAGGAAGAGAAAACAACAGUGAUUCCGUGAGUAGUGGCGAGCGAAAGCGGAUGAGGCUAAACCGGGUGUGUGUGAUAGCCGGCAGGUGUUGCAUGCCCGGGGUUGUGGGACUUUUCUGAUCAUUCUGCCGAGUGGUCGACGUGAUGUGACGGUGUAGACGAAUGGUCUUGAAAGGCCAGCCAUAGUGGGUGCCAGCCCCGUAGUUGAAACGCUGCUCACAGCGUGAAGAGUAUCCCAAGUAGCACGGGGCCCGAGAAAUCCCGUGUGAAUCUGUCAGGACCACCUGAUAAGCCUAAAUACUCCCAGAUGACCGAUAGCGGACAAGUACCGUGAGGGAAAGGUGAAAAGUACCCCGGGAGGGGAGUGAAAUAGUACCUGAAACCGUUUGCUUACAAACCGUUGGAGCCUCCUUAGUAGGGGUGACAGCGUGCCUUUUGAAGAAUGAGCCUGCGAGUUAGUGAUAUGUGGCGAGGUUAACCCGUGUGGGGUAGCCGUAGCGAAAGCGAGUCUGAAUAGGGCGAUUCAGUCGCAUGUCCUAGACCCGAAGCGAAGUGAUCUAUCCAUGGCCAGGCUGAAGCGACGGUAAGACGUCGUGGAGGGCCGAACCCACUUAGGUUGAAAACUGAGGGGAUGAGCUGUGGAUAGGGGUGAAAGGCCAAUCAAACUUCGUGAUAGCUGGUUCUCUCCGAAAUGCAUUUAGGUGCAGCGUUGCGUGUUUCUUGCCGGAGGUAGAGCUACUGGAUGGCCGAUGGGCCUCACCAGGUUACUGACGUCAGCCAAACUCCGAAUGCCGGUAAGUGAGAGCGCAGCAGUGAGACUGUGGGGGAUAAGCUUCAUAGUCGAGAGGGAAACAACCCAGACCACCAUCUAAGGUCCCAAAGCGCGUGCUAAGUGGAAAAGGAUGUGGAGUUGCUUAGACAACCAGGAGGUUGGCUUAGAAGCAGCCACCCUUGAAAGAGUGCGUAAUAGCUCACUGGUCAAGUGAUUCCGCGCCGACAAUGUAACGGGGCUCAAGCACGCCACCGAAGUUGUGGCAUUGACAUUUUU
rnacentral:rRNA from 1 species